rnacentral:rRNA from 1 species
GACGAACGCUGGCGGCGUGCUUAACACAUGCAAGUGGAGCGACUAAGCGGGCUUCGGCCCGUGGCAAAGCCGCGAACGGGUGAGUAACACGUGGGUAACCUGCCCUGAUGACCGGGACAACCCGAGGAAACUCGGGCUAAUACCGGAUGUGGUCCAUACACAUGAGUGGUUGGACUAAAGGUAGCUUCGGCCUCCGCAUCAGGAUGGGCCGGCGGCGCAUUAGCUUGUUGGUGAGGUAAUGGCUUACCAAGGCGACGAUGCGUAGCUGGUCUGAGAGGACUAUCAGCCACACUGGGACUGAGACACGGCCCAGACUCCUACGGGAGGCAGCAGUGGGGAAUCUUGCGCAAUGCGCGAAAGCGUGACGCAGCAACGCCGCGUGAGGGAAGACGGCUUUCGGGUUGUAAACCUCUUUCAGGAGGGACGAAGCCUGGCUGGUGAAUAGCCUGUCCAGGUGACGGUACCUCCACAAGAAGCCCCGGCUAACUACGUGCCAGCCGCCGCAGUAA